rnacentral:snRNA from 1 species
GUGCUCAUUUCAGCAGCACUAAAAUUGAAAUGACAGAAGAUUGGCCCAGCCCCUGAGCAAGGAUGACACAAAAAUUCAUGAUGUGUUCCAUAUAUAU